rnacentral:rRNA from 2 species
GAUCAUGGCUCAGGACGAACGCUGGCGGCGUGCCUAAUACAUGCAAGUCGAACGAACUCUGGUAUUGAUUGGUGCUUGCAUCAUGAUUUACAUUUGAGUGAGUGGCGAACUGGUGAGUAACACGUGGGAAACCUGCCCAGAAGCGGGGGAUAACACCUGGAAACAGAUGCUAAUACCGCAUAACAACUUGGACCGCAUGGUCCGAGUUUGAAAGAUGGCUUCGGCUAUCACUUUUGGAUGGUCCCGCGGCGUAUUAGCUAGAUGGUGGGGUAACGGCUCACCAUGGCAAUGAUACGUAGCCGACCUGAGAGGGUAAUCGGCCACAUUGGGACUGAGACACGGCCCAAACUCCUACGGGAGGCAGCAGUAGGGAAUCUUCCACAAUGGACGAAAGUCUGAUGGAGCAACGCCGCGUGAGUGAAGAAGGGUUUCGGCUCGUAAAACUCUGUUGUUAAAGAAGAACAUAUCUGAGAGUAACUGUUCAGGUAUUGACGGUAUUUAACCAGAAAGCCACGGCUAACUACGUGCCAGCAGCCGCGGUAAUACGUAGGUGGCAAGCGUUGUCCGGAUUUAUUGGGCGUAAAGCGAGCGCAGGCGGUUUUUUAAGUCUGAUGUGAAAGCCUUCGGCUCAACCGAAGAAGUGCAUCGGAAACUGGGAAACUUGAGUGCAGAAGAGGACAGUGGAACUCCAUGUGUAGCGGUGAAAUGCGUAGAUAUAUGGAAGAACACCAGUGGCGAAGGCGGCUGUCUGGUCUGUAACUGACGCUGAGGCUCGAAAGUAUGGGUAGCAAACAGGAUUAGAUACCCUGGUAGUCCAUACCGUAAACGAUGAAUGCUAAGUGUUGGAGGGUUUCCGCCCUUCAGUGCUGCAGCUAACGCAUUAAGCAUUCCGCCUGGGGAGUACGGCCGCAAGGCUGAAACUCAAAGGAAUUGACGGGGGCCCGCACAAGCGGUGGAGCAUGUGGUUUAAUUCGAAGCUACGCGAAGAACCUUACCAGGUCUUGACAUACUAUGCAAAUCUAAGAGAUUAGACGUUCCCUUCGGGGACAUGGAUACAGGUGGUGCAUGGUUGUCGUCAGCUCGUGUCGUGAGAUGUUGGGUUAAGUCCCGCAACGAGCGCAACCCUUAUUAUCAGUUGCCAGCAUUAAGUUGGGCACUCUGGUGAGACUGCCGGUGACAAACCGGAGGAAGGUGGGGAUGACGUCAAAUCAUCAUGCCCCUUAUGACCUGGGCUACACACGUGCUACAAUGGAUGGUACAACGAGUUGCGAACUCGCGAGAGUAAGCUAAUCUCUUAAAGCCAUUCUCAGUUCGGAUUGUAGGCUGCAACUCGCCUACAUGAAGUCGGAAUCGCUAGUAAUCGCGGAUCAGCAUGCCGCGGUGAAUACGUUCCCGGGCCUUGUACACACCGCCCGUCACACCAUGAGAGUUUGUAACACCCAAAGUCGGUGGGGUAACCUUUUAGGAACCAGCCGCCUAAGGUGGGACAGAUGAUUAGGGUGAAGUCGUAACAAGGUAGCCGUAGGAGAACCUGCGGUUGGAUC